ensembl:snRNA U6 U6 spliceosomal RNA
GUGCUCACUUCGGCAGCACAUACACUAAAAUUGGAACGAUACAGAGAAGAUUAGCAUGGCUCCUGCACAAGGAUGACACGGAGAGAUAGUCCAGCAGGGAGGGCAUUU